rnacentral:lncRNA from 1 species
UGGAAUGCUACCACUACUGCUGGGCUGGAGCUCGUGUCUCGGAACCUAUGGUGUAACAUGGAAAAAAACCACCAUAGCGCAAAUGCGUCAGUACAACUGGAGUACUGAGUAUACGAGGAAGGCAGGCUAAACAUAAAGGGUUUCAUGCAUGAACAACACUGACUGACUAAUAUGAACUGGGAGUGCAAACACACAUAUAUCAAAACUGGGACCGUAAAUACGUGAUAGCAUGACCUGUAAGCUAAUACAUGGUUUACUGAUAACUAUCAUGACUGAUAUUGAAACUGAUAACAUGGACGACUGUAUCUGACAGUCCUUUAUAUACUGAAAUCUGAAGAACGCCCUGAUUUCUUUUAUUGAGACUGAUACUAAAACUGUGGGAAGUAGUGUCUAACCGACAUGCCCCAUGUCUGCCGUUAUAGCUAAGCUGGGGUCCAAUCUCUGCCCCAACUGGAGGGGUAUCAAUACUGUGCCAUGAGUAAGGACAGCCUGUGAGUGGCCCUUAUCUGGCGAGUACUCAAUAAGAAUGCUGGGAACCCUAAACUGAUGGGUUAAGCCACCUCAUCAACCCUAAUUUGAUGGGUUAUGAUGUCUCAACCUAUGCUAGCUACGUAGUUCUGGAACAUAAGGAUGACUACUAAGAAUCACACCCUAAACUAGCGGGUGAGUUCCCAUCCUUGGGUUCACUCGGUGCUAAUCUCUACUCCCAUCUGGAGGUACUGGACAUGAAUAACUGACUGUGCAUGACUUAAUCUUACUGAAUUCCAUUGACUGGCGGAAUGUUACUGAUAUCUAACAAUUGACUAAGAUCAUGAGGUUUUCUUGAGUCACUUGACUAACUGAAGUCUAUGGAAUCAUAGCUUGAGUUCGGAUAUCGUGAAACAUGACAUGGAUCUAGGCACACAUCUAUAGUUUUUGGAUACAAGUACCCCCAAGACUCGAUGGAAGGAAACUAACACACAUGACUGACUUGAUCAUAAGAGUAGAGUCCAUAAUUUAUAAUAUUAUAAGUAGGGAUCUCAUACUAAGAAUGGUUAUCAACAAUGUAUUGCAUGGAAAGGCUUUUAUAUCACGUGGAAGUACUUGUACUCUCUUAAUAUCAUGUUCAUUGCAUAAUCAUAUUGGCAACACAUACCAAUAGCAUGGAAGUUCAUGUGGAUUGCAUGGUUAUCAUACAUCUUGUUCAUAAGUAGGAUUUGCAAGUAAACAUAGCAUAAUCUCAUAAGAAUAGUUCAUGAGUAUUCCAACAACAUUUACAAGGCACAUUAUCAACAUAGAAUUCAUUGAAACGUAAGGGCACAUCAUCAAUCCUUCACUUAGUCACAAUUUUGCUAUAUUGCAUGAUUUCUAGUUUCUUAGGCAUUUUAUCAAACACCUUACAUGCACAUCUUAAGAAUAGGUGAAAUCAUCCAAUUGUACGUCAUGAAAAACCAAAUUUACAGGUUUCCAACUCAUAUGAUAUCAUGAAUUCACAAAAACAUAUAAAGAUUUCAUCUUGGAAAUCACCCAAUAUCAACAACAUGAUCAUCAACACCCAAUAAUAUAGAAAUCAUACUUUAUAAUGAAAAAGAGGGUUUUUGAGCUUUAUGGAUGAAAGGGAUCCAUAAAUCAACUCACGCAUACAAUUAUAUAGCAAAACAAACAAGCAUCAACAUGGGUAUGACCAUAUCACCACAAUCAACCAAGCUUUUGUAUUGUAAAGAUUGAUUCUUGAACUCCACGGACGAAAGGUAUCUGUGGAUGAAUACUACGCAUACCUUAGAAGGAAGAUUCUUGAUGAUUGACGGAGAAAUUUACUUGAAAUUGGAUCUUCAAGCUUAGUUAUGCAACCCUAGUUGUUUGUCUCCUUUAGUGCUCUUGGGUGAAGAGAUUUGAGAUGAAAAUAGGGUUGUAAUAUGUUUUGAUGCUAUAUAUUUCAUGGGGUUAAGUUUAUGGACGUGUAAGGAGUAUUUAAAGACUUUAUUACCUUUAAAAUAACUCAAAACGGAGUGUUUUUGACACCUGGAAUUGACUUAGGCGGUGCCUAGGUGAUCUCCUAUGCUUGGGGUGGGCGGAGCCUAACCAAUCGCCUAUGCUUGGGUUGGGCGGCGCCUAACCAAUCGCCUAUGCUUGGGUUGGGCGGUGCCUAACCAAUCGCCUAUGCUUACUGUCUCUCACAAAAAUAGGUAUAACUUUUCGCUCGGCUAUUGGAUUAAGGCGAAAUUGGUAUCGUUGGAAAUCUAAUCCGAUUCUCUACAAUUUGGUGAGUCUAAAUCAGCCAAAAUAUCAUAUUAACAUCGAUUUAUACUCAUUCAAAGAUGACCCUUGUAAAAUCAAACACUAAAACUUACUGUAUUCAAAAACUCUUAACUUGUAUUACCUUAAGUGACUCAUAUGAACAAGGUUAAGCUAUCCUAUCACCAGGAUAUUCAUUGUAAGUCAUGUACUCAAGUAUGAAUCACAGGAUAGGAGAUUUCAUAUGUAGGAAUACUUAUUCACUUCCUAGCUUAGAAACAUACGGGGUAUUACAACUAAGGUGACCCUUAGUACCAUUUUCAACCCGUAGAUAAAUGGGCAAGCGAAAAAGAUAAUUCACGUCUUGGAAGAUAUGCUUCGGGCUUCUAUGUUUGAUUGUGGUGGUGGUUGGGUUGACCACUUGCCUCUCAUAGAAUUUUUCUACAACAACAGUUGUCACUCUAUCAUUGGUAUGGCUCCGUUUGAGGCCUUAUAUGGUAUAAGAUGUAGGUCUCCUAUUGAGUGGUUUGAGGUUGGUGAGAAUAAGUUGUUUGGUCCUGAUUUGAUUCACCAAGCCAUAUAGAAGGUGAAAGUGAUUCAAGAUAGACUUAAGGCUGUCCAAAGUCGUCAAAAAUCUUAUGUUGAUAUAAAGUGAAGAGAGUUAGAGUUUAGUGUUGGUGAUUGGAUAUUUUUGAAGUUGUCCCGCAAUGAAGGGAGUGAUGCCAUUUGGUAAGAAGGGGAAGCUCAAUCCUUGCUAUAUUGGUCCUUACUUGGUUUUGAAGAGGGUUGGUAAUGUCACUUAUAAAUUGGAUUUGCCUUCUAGAUUGAGCACCAUUUAUUCGGUGUUUAAUGUUUCGAUAUUAAAAAAGUGUGUGGGUGAUCCUUUGAUGGUUGCUCCUUUAGAAGAGGUGGGUAUCUCAGAUUUCUUGUCUUAUAAGGUAUCCCAAUUGAGAUUUUGUAUCAGCAAGUCCAUCAGUUGCGGACUAAGGAUGGGGCUUUGAUAAGGGUUCUUUGGAAGAACCAAAAGGUUGAGGAAGCUACUUGGAAAGCUAAUGAGGACAUGAAUUCAAAGUAUCCAUUCUUGUUUACCAUUUCAGAUAAUCAUUCUUGAGGUAUGUGUAUCACCUGACAUCUUUAUUUUCUUACUUUGUUAAAGAAAAUGGUAACUUCCUUGGCAUCUUUGUUUUCUAUCUUUGUUAAAGGUAAAAGUAGUGUUAUCUGGAGUCAAAUCAUGCUAAUAAAUGCCUUGUCUUGUCAUUCAAGGAAGAAAGAACAUAACGAUAGGAGUAUGUAAUGCCCCGACUUUUUGGAACUGAAGAAUUUUUGAAAAUUUUAUCCUCACGAUUCGUAGGAUGUCUUAACAGGUCGUAUCUACUCAAUCGUAAUUUAAUCAGAACAAAUGUCUUAGUUUUCUAUUUUGAGUACGAGUGGCUCUCAACUAGUCAUCAGGACUUCUUACUGGUCGUAAGGACCAAUUCAUAAGGUGUCCAGUAAGUAUGGCCCAAGACACUGUCUUCAUUAUGAUUUAAGGCCCUGAGUCGUAAAGACUCAUGACGAGUCGUUAUGAUCCAAUCGUAGGGUGUCCAGUGUGUCAUCACAAAUUAUUGCUGUCCUGAGUACAAGAAAUGCUUACGAUCCAUAAUGAUUGGUUAUGAGUUGGUGGUAUUACUCAUAGCCAGACCAGGAUGAGGCUUUGGUGAUUUAGUCCUAGCUACAACUCCUUGUGAUGAGUCGUAAUGUGUCUUUACGAGUCGUAUACUGACCCAUAGUCACUUGUGACGUCUUUUCAUUAAGGUCACUUUACAUAUUUCCCCUCUAUCACAAUUGUAACCCACUACUUAAAACCAUAUUGGGGACCGCAUUAGCAUUGUUAACUCACUAAAAUAUUUUCAAAAGACUGUCUCAAAUUCUCUCAAGGAGCCAUACUUAGGGUUUCUAAGAAGUGGGUCAAGUCAAGCUUCAAGUGUUGAAUUCUUUUUGUAAUCUUGGGUAUUUUAGGAAUGUUACUCUUCCCUCAUUGAUAAUUUGUUAAAAUCAUAUAUUUUAAUGUACUAUUCAUAGACUUAGGGUACGUUUCUCUAAAAACACUAUCCAGGUACACGUUAACUAACGUGCACCUGCCAUGGGCAGGAGGCCGAACAACACUACCCUAGAUGAAAAAUCGAUGUCGGAGGCUCCAAUCAAGGGAUUGAAGUCCGAUAUAGGGGGAAUUGUACCAUCCAUUAGUGGAGUUAGUAUAGGAGGCAAUGGAAAAUUGCAAAGGUAAAAGGCCAUAGGGAUAUGCACUCCGAUGAAGGUGUCUGAACUUAUGCCAGCAAAGACGCGAGAAUAGGAAUGGUCGAUUGUUUCAAUUCAGCUAGGUUGAAGUUCUAUUGGGCGGAAAAAGUAGAUAUUGCGGAAGCCAAGUCUGGGGCAAGUAUUGGGGGCAACCUCGAAAGGAACAAUCUAUAUGGAAGGAUUUUGACAUCCCAAAGCUAACAAAUGCAGGAUUUAUUCUUGAAUAUAUUGAUCCAGAACAAGUGGGCGAUCAGUUGAUAGGUGAUAUUGUCUCAAAGGAUAUCAAAAUAGAGGUGGAAUACUGGUAAAAUGCACUAGUUUGUUAUGUCCUUAGAGCUCACCCCUCUUUUUUUUUAUUCUGAACGGAUUUAUCCAGAGGAUUUGGGGGAAAUAUAGAUUAAAUAAGAUAACAACAAUGAAAAUGGAAUUGUGUUAGUAAUAUUUGACAUUGAGGAUGGAAAAAUGGAAGAACUAUAGGGAGGUAUUUACCACUUUGAUAGUAAGCCAUUUAUUGUCAAGGCUUGGUUACCUGAGAUGGAGUUCUUAAAAGAUGAGUUAUCGACAGUGCCGAUUUGGAUUAAGCUACCCAGACUGGAUUUCAAAUACUGGAGCCCCAAAGGCUUGAGAAAAUUAGAAGUUUAGUAGGGCAGCUACUCAUGGUGGAUAAAUCUACUGAGAAGAAAUCAGGCUUAAGUUUUGCUCGAUUAUUAGUUGAGGUAAAAGUGGGGACUGAGUUACCAGAUGAGGUAUUGUUCAAAAAUGAGAAGGGUAGAGUAAUGGUACAGAAAGUUAUAUAUGAUUGGAAACCAUUAAUUUAUGCUCACUAUCAUAGAUAUAGGCAUGUGGGGGAGGAUUGUAGGAAACUACAACCUAAACUAGUGGCCAAGCAGGAUCCCAAGAAAACACCACAGGUGUCC